rnacentral:lncRNA from 1 species
UCUACUUGACCUCCUCACAGUCUCCCUUUCUAUAGUGCAAGCUCGACUAGACAGUUUUGACAAUAGUGAUAUUAAGGCUCUGCUUGGUGCCAUGCAAUCUGCAUUUGGGGUGCCAGCUAGCCACAGGACUCAUCUGGAAAAAAACAACGGCCCAACCCUGAGAACUUUGGGAUUCACGGGAAAUUACAGUUCCCCUGAUGAUGCAGGACCGGACCAGGAUUUCACUCAUCAACUGGCCUAGAUUAAGGAGAAAGAAAUCUACAUUUCUGAACCUGGUAACGUCUGAGCAUACUCAUGGAAGAAAGAGCUGGCCUAUGAGCGUGAGUCAUUCAACAAAUAUUUCUGAGUUUUUACAGUGUGCUAGAUACUCUUUACAUGCUGAAUGAGACAGCAAAACUAAGACUGCUCAGGAUAAUUGAGAAAUUAUCGCUUUCUUCCUGUAGGCAUCCCCUGCUUUUCACUAACACUUUUUUCUUCUUGUUGGAAGGGUGGAUAUUAUGGCUGGAGCUGCAGCAGCCAUCAUGCCAACAUGAGGGAAAAGCUGAUGGAAUUGUGGAGACUUUGGCCUUGUGAUUCAGCCCUGGAUGAGUUGUCUCCACAUUACUUAUCAUAUAAGAGAAAAACCAAUUCCAUUAAGAACACAAUAAAAUAUCUUCAUGAAUGAUCCUCCAUUUGGAAACAAAUGCAUUUGGAUGAGGGACCAUCUCUCGAAGCUAAGGAUUAAAAUAUCGCUUCAGUACCACAAAGAAAUUAGGCUGUUCCUUUUGGAGUGUUUUAAUAGUUAGCUGAGUGCUCCUCAGGAAGAAGCCACAUACCCGGAGCGUAACCAGGAGACAGUCAUGGAACCGUAACGCAGACCAUGGACUGCAGCAGCUUGGUUUGGAGCUGGGUCAAACCUCACAGUAAGGCUCCAUCUCAGGCCUGGCUGCAAAGUCAACAUCUCUCUGCAUCCAUGUUUUCACAUUUACCUUUCUGGAGCGGCAAUAGGAAAAUGUUUCCCUAAAAGAAAAGACAGUGAUGCUUUCAUCGAAAGAAAAAGUAAAGAACUAUUGUGUGUGCCUAACCAAUCUUACAGGGGGGAAAAGAUUUAUAUUAUCUUGAAAACAUAAUUUGGUCUUGUUCAGGCCAUUGGGGGAGACCAUCUACAUUCUUACCAUGACUGUGAGACUGAUACUGCCCACAACGAUACCAGUACUGAGUGAUGAAGAACAUUUUGCUAAGUUGUUCUAUCGUGGUCCUUGCUUAAGGGGAUUGUUGGACGGAUGUUGUGGGAACUGAACUUGAAGAAGGAAGAGCCCAUCAUUUGGACACAUCUUAGGGCUUCCCAGCUGCACCAGGUUAUGGACAAGGGACCUGGAACCCCAACCCUUCCAGUCACUAACCACAUGGCCUGAGAUGUCAUUUCAUGCAGCUGGGCUCUUUGUGCUCAUCAGCAAGUGAUGUAAAUAAAGCAUGUGAGGUUAGCACACCGUAUAUUCUCAAAUCCUGGAGCUACUGGUCCUCUUGUGACUAUUAUUAUUAUUAAUAUUAUAAUGAA